UUAAAGAGCAAGUAACGUCUAAAUUAACUUUUUUUUGCUGAUGAACUGUAUAAAUGAGUGUCUAAUAGUGUUUUAAAUGUGUGUAUUCAUUAUUUUAGCAUUUUGGUGCAUUUUCUUAAAAAAAUAAAAAUUCUGCCUAAAUACCACAGUAUAGCUCCACCUUCAGCUUAAAACAUAGAAUUUGACUCAUUUUGAAUAAAUUUUAGCCAAUGGCUAAAGAGUAAGAUACUACGUAAUCCAGUAGAGUACUACGUAGCAGCUCUGUGUCAACGUUAUAAAAGCAUCGGGAGUCUCGGCCACGCCUUGUGGCGAGUUGGGAGUUGGAUUUGCAUGAGAGUGUAGGAGGCUAGCCGUAGUUCAGCAUUAGCAUAUAGCAUUAGCAUAUCCUAGUCUUUAGCAUAGCUUUUAGUGUUAUACAUACUUAUUUAGUGUUAGCUUGGCGUUUGGAUAUUGUAGUUUAGUUACUGUUUGGCUGUUAGUGUAAUUAGGAAAGUAGUUCGGGUUUAGUGCUCCAUAUCGUGUUAGAAUGGUGAGAUGGUGUAGUGUAGUAUGGUUGCGGAGCUCUGUCGGGUUGCACUCCUUUCCGCUGGACUUAGAAAUUAGGCGCCAGUGGUUGCGUGUCUGGAAAAGAUUCAGCUCCCGCCUGGUGCUGUAGUUUGCAACCAGCAUUUUACCCGCGAUUCUGCACGUCUCCGUUCCAAGAGGGAGGCUGUGCCCACCGUGGCUCUUCCGCGAUUUAGAUGCAGCCCACCGACUCUGCUCCCCCACCAUGACGGGCUACAGUCUGAGGCUAAAUCUACCCAAGACACUGGCUGUCAGACUGAUUUAGUAAUCUGCAAGAAUGCACUUGUCCAGGCUGACGUGGUGUUACCCGUAGCAAAGAGCUCACAGCCUCAGUGUCUUGUGACACAGGGACCAUGACAGAAAUUCAUCUUCCAGAAGGUCCCAGAGCAUCCACACCUCCUGAAAAGACCACGGUGUGAGGUGUCUGCUGUUGAUUCCAGCUUCCACCUCAGUGACAGUGCAAGCUCAGUUAACUGUUCAAGGUAAAAAAAAAUUAAAACAUUUCUGAAUUUUUAAGAUAUUAACAAUUAAAUAAGUAUGUGAUUACAUCAUGAAGGAGGCUACUGAUUCUGGCCCUGUGACACUUGGUGGUCACCACCAGGUGGUGACGUGUGAGCUGAUUCACCUGGACACUCAGCAAAAUAUGGACUCUACACCAUGAGGCAGGCACACGUUAAUAACUCUAUAAGAGCACAUAAGCCUGGCUGAUCACCUGAUAACUCCUGUCAUCUGGUUAUGACAGCAUGAGGAUGUCCUCACACACCUGUAACCUAUCAGCUCAUCAGGCAGAAUAGAGAGAAGAGACAACACCACAUCUCCUGUUCCUGGAAAGCCUUCAGCCUUCCUUCGAUGACUGAGAACCUCCAUCAGCUCUGUCUCCUGUCUGCCUACAAUUAUUAUAAUAAAUAUUGUGUUUGACAA